CGAAAUGCGAUAAGUAAUGUGAAUUGCAGAAUUCAGUGAAUCAUCGAAUCUUUGAACGCACAUUGCGCCCGCCAGCACUCUGGCGGGCAUGCCUGUUCGAGCGUCAUUUCAACCCUCAGAACCCCUUGCGGGAUCUGGCGUUGGGGAUUGGCAUCCAGCCAGCCCCGAAAUCUAGCGGCGGUCCCUCCGCGACCUCCCCUGUGCAGUAGCGAUACCUCGCAGCGGGACAGCGGUCUGACCACGCCGUAAAACCCCCAACUUCUCAAGGUUGACCUCGAAUCAGGUAGGAAUACCCGCUGAACUUAAGC
rnacentral:misc_RNA from 1 species